AUUGAACGCUGGCGGCAUGCCUUACACAUGCAAGUCGAACGGUAACAGGUUAAGCUGACGAGUGGCGAACGGGUGAGUAAUAUAUCGGAACGUGCCCAGUCGUGGGGGAUAACUGCUCGAAAGAGCAGCUAAUACCGCAUACGACCUGAGGGCGUAAGCGGGGGAUCGCAAGACCUCGCGCGAUUGGAGCGGCCGAUAUCAGAUUAGGUAGUUGGUGGGGUAAAGGUCCACCAAGCCAACGAUCUGUAGCUGGUCUGAGAGGACGACUAGCCACACUGGGACUAGGACACGGCCCAGACUCCUACGGGAGGCAGCAGUGGGGAAUUUUGGACAAUGGGCGCAAGCCUGAUCCAGCCAUGCCGCGUGCGGGAAGAAGGCCUUCGGGUUGUAAGCCGCUUUUGUCAGGGAAGAAAAGGCUCUGGUUAAUACCUGGGACUCAUGACGGUACCUGAAGAAUAAGCACCGGCUAACUACGUGCCAGCCGCCGCGGUAA
rnacentral:rRNA from 1 species